CCUACGGGCGGCAGCAGUAGGGAAUAUUGGGCAAUGGGCGCAAGCCUGACCCAGCAACGCCGCGUGAAGGAAGAAGGCUUUCGGGUUGUAAACUUCUUUUCUCAGGGACGAAGCAAGUGACGGUACCUGAGGAAUAAGCCACGGCUAACUACGUGCCAGCAGCCGCGGUAAUACGUAGGUGGCAAGCGUUAUCCGGAUUUACUGGGUGUAAAGGGCGGGUAGGCGGGAAAGCAAGUCCGAUGUGAAAACCCUGGGCUCAAACUGUGGCCAGCUUUUGAAACUGUUUUUCUUGAGUACUGGAGAGGCAGACGGAAUUCCUAGUGUAGCGGUGAAAUGCGUAGAUAUUAGGAGGAACACCAGUGGCGAAGGCGGUCUGCUGGACAGCAACUGACGCUGAGGCGCGAAAGCGUGGGGAGCAAACAGGAUUAGAUACCCCAGUAGUC
rnacentral:rRNA from 1 species